UAUGCCUGCUUUUCUAAAGUGUCGCAUCGAUCAAGUCAAUUACUCACUCACUAGCUUCUUCCCCAGUAGUAAUAGUUCUUUCAUUGCUUUCAUUGAAAACACCAAUGUGAGCCUCAGCAUAAAAGCCAAACCUGCCGCACAUCCAUGGCAGUUAGCUAGCUUGAAUAGUUAUAUAGAAACAGAUACUGCUGCACAGGUUUUAUGUGUGAAAUAAUGCGUUCUCUGGGUCUUCUCUUCUUCGUUUUCUGCUGGCUGUACGAAGUCACUCACAGCCGCAACUCCAUCUCUGUGGCUUCACAGAGCACGGAGGCAGACACUGUCUUUGUCAAUGGAACAGCGGCAAUCGGAAGCAUAGAUGAUGACUUUGUUUGUGCUACACUGGAUUGGUGGCCGCCGGAGAAAUGCGAUUAUGGAACUUGUAGCUGGGGUAAUGCUUCUCUUCUUAAUCUAGACCUUGGCAAUGAUAUACUUUUAAAUGCAAUAAAAGCAUUUUCACCCUUGAAACUUAGGCUGGGUGGCACCUUGCAAGACAAAGUCAUAUACCAGACAGAAGACGGUCCAAAACAUACUUCAUUUGUUAAAGAUAGUUCACAGUUGUUUGGCUUUUCUGAUGGUUACUUACCUAUGCCUAGAUGGGAUGAACUAAACAUUUUCUUCAAGAAUGCCGGGGCUGUUAUUAUAUUUGGACUAAAUGCACUGCAAGGCAGGACCAUAGAUUCCCAUGGUGUUGCUGUGGGUGAUUGGAAUGCGAGUAAUGCUGAAUCCUUUAUAAGAUAUACAGUCAACAAAGGAUACACAAUUCAUGGUUGGGAGCUAGGAAAUGAACUAUGUGGGAGUGGAGUUGGAACAAGAGUGACAGCAGUCCAGUACGCUUCAGACAUAAACUCUCUUCAAAACAAGGUGCGAGAUAUUUAUUCAGGUUCUGCAUUAGCUAAGCCACUAGUCUUGGCACCAGGAGGGUUCUUUGAUUCCAAAUGGUUCUCAGAUUUUGUUCUACAAAGCACCUCAGUCUGUUCAAGUACUCACUCACCACAUAUAUAACCUUGGUCCAGGUAGUGCAACAGAUCUUGUCGACAAGAUUCUCAAUCCAUCUGUUCUUGAUGGUAUUUCCAAAACCUUCAGUGACUUACAGAUGCUAGUUAAGAGUUCGCAUACUUCAGCUGUGGCAUGGGUUGGUGAAUCAGGAGGGGCUUACAACAGUGGUCACAAUCUGGUUACAAAUGCAUUUGUAUUCAGUUUCUGGUACCUGGACCAGCUUGGGAUGUCAGCAUCUUAUGAUACCAAAACACAUUGCAGACAAACACUCAUUGGUGGAAAUUAUGGCCUCCUUGACAUCAAUACCUUUAAACCAAAUCCUGAUUAUUACAGUGCUCUUCUUUGGCAUCGACUAAUGGGAAACAAUGUUCUGUCAACAAGCUUCUCCGGGACAAAGAAACUGCGCACUUAUGCUCAUUGUUCCAAGAAAACACAAGGAAUCACAGUGCUGCUUAUUAACCUAGGUAACACUACAGUUCAAGUUGAUGUUUCAACUAAAAAUGGUGGCAGCAGCAGUACCUUGAAUUUCGAAGAAGGCCUAAAAGAUUCUAAAGCAACCAAGAACGAUGUCAGAGAAGAAUACCACAUAACAGCUAAAGAUGGAGACUUGCACAGCCGAGUAAUGCUUCUGAAUGAGAAAGAACUAACUGUAAAUUCAGCAGGGCAAAUCCCAAGCUUGGAGCCAAUGAUAGUAGGAAUAUCAGAUCCCACAUCUGUGGCACCUUUCUCUAUUGUAUUUGUUCACAUUCCCAACAUAACUGUACCUGCUUGUAAAUAGACAGAGUUCCUUCUUCUUUGUGAAUUAUGACCAAAGAUUGACAACAAACUUUACAAGUCUUUGGUCACAACUCACAAGAAAAGGAAUGACUAAUUUACAAGAGCUCUCUUUUUAGUCUUUGAUCUACAAGAAUGAAAUGAGGCGGCUUGAAAGGAAUAUUGAAUGAAUGAUGAUUUGAUC